GACGAACGCUGGCGGCGUGCUUAACACAUGCAAGUCGAGCGGAAAGGCCACUUCGGUGGUACUCGAGCGGCGAACGGGUGAGUAACACGUGAGUAAUCUGCCCCUGGCUUUGGGAUAGCCGCCGGAAACGGUGAUUAAUACCGGAUAUGCACUGCUUCUCGCAUGGGUUGGGGUGGAAAGUUUUUCGGUCAGGGAUGUGCUCGCGGCCUAUCAGCUUGAUGGUGAGGUAAUGGCUCACCAUGGCUUCGACGGGUAGCCGGCCUGAGAGGGUGACCGGUCACACUGGGACUGAGACACGGCCCAGACUCCUACGGGAGGCAGCAGUGGGGAAUAUUGGACAAUGGGCGGAAGCCUGAUCCAGCAACGCCGCGUGAGGGAUGACGGCCUUCGGGUUGUAAACCUCUUUCAGCAGGGACGAAGCGCAAGUGACGGUACCUGCAGAAGAAGCACCGGCCAACUACGUGCCAGCCGCCGCGGUAACAC
rnacentral:rRNA from 1 species